UAAUUGAAGAGUUUGAUCAUGGCUCAGAUUGAACGCUGGCGGCAGGCCUAACACAUGCAAGUCGAGCGGUAACAGGGGAAGCUUGCUUCUCGCUGACGAGCGGCGGACGGGUGAGUAAUGUAUGGGGAUCUGCCCGAUAGAGGGGGAUAACUACUGGAAACGGUAGCUAAUACCGCAUAAUCUCUUAGGAGCAAAGCAGGGGAACUUCGGUCCUUGC
rnacentral:rRNA from 1 species